AUGUAGUUCAGUGGAGGUACCAGGGAAAGGACUCUCUCCAGCCUGCAGGCUGUCACUCCUGCUGGCUGGGCCUGGAUGGUGCCUGAAGGCUGCAGUGGGCUCCUGCUUUCCCAGCUCCUGUGAGCUUUCACUCCUGUUGGAUGGUGCCUUUCAGUCAUUUCUGCUGCUGUUGAAAGCAACCAACAGAAGAAUAUUUCUGUGGCAACUGAAAGGUAUCUAUGGAUUCAGAUUUUGCUUUGAAAAACCAACCUAUGGGAACACAGCUCUGUCAGUGGCUUUUUUCUCUCUCUGACCCAGUGCCUGACCAACAACACUAACUGGGGGAAGAAGGGUCUACUUUGCCUCACAGUUGGAAGAGAUGCAGUUCACCCUGGUGGGCAGGCAGGGCAGCAGGAGGCACUGAAGCAGCUGGUGAGACUGUGGCUGCAUCCGGAAGCAGAGAAAGAGGAAUCCAGUGCUCAGCUCUGCCAUUGUCUUCCUGACUCAGGCCAGGACCGGUCUGUGGGAUGGCGACACCCUCCUAGACACACCCAAAGAUCAAGACGGCAAUGAAGAUGAACUAAGACAUCAACCAUAGCUGCUCUAUUGUAUGUUACCUAUGUGACUUCUGUGCAAUUAUGUCAGGGCUGAGUGGGUUACAACACAGGGUACACCCAGCCCCCUGGGCAUUUAUUACCUGGCCCUUUAUGGAAAAGAAAAAGUGCGGGCCUCUGUUGUAUGGGAAGGUUUUCAGAGUGCCAGUUAGCUCACUGGAGAUGAGUUAACGGAGCAUGUGAAUAGCCACAGGGAAGGGCUUGCAUGCACCGCAGCUCACUGUGGGUCCCUCCCACUGGCUGUAAGUGUGUGCUUGCAUACCCCGAGCUGUGUGAUUCCUUGGCCUUGUAAGUCCUGGAGGAGAGGCUGGCAGAGGGAAACCCUCCCUCCCUCCCCUCCCUUCAACUUUCCCCGGAGCCGGACUUGGCUCAGCCUUGGUGGUGAUUUCAGUCACCUGCUGGUAACCUGGGCUUUACUCGACUCCCACCGUGCUAUAAACUUCAUAACAUAGAAUGUACAGCCGUUUCCUGUCAGCAGGCUUAUGGUGAUGCAGGUGGUGAUGUGUGUGGUGUAUGUAGAUAGAUGUGUUGUGGGCGUUGGGAGAUGGGGUCAGUGCUCUAGGGUAUUGGGGUUCCUCUAUCACCUCUGCUUGUUUUCUCUGACACAUCAUCUAUCGCUGACCAGGAGUACGCUUCUCUCUCUCUCUCUCUCUCUCUCUUUCUCUCUUUCCCCACCCCCUCUCUCCUAGCUAGCCUCAGAAAUCCUCAUUGUGUACAUAGGUGCUUUACAGACCUGUUUUCACAAGGUCUCUGAAAACUAAACUCUGGUCCUUUUGCUGGUACUGCAAGCUCUCAGAACCACUGAGCCAUCUCUCCAGACCUCACUUAAACCAUUUAAAAAUUAUUAUAUUCAAACUGUGUGUGUGUGUGUGUGUGUGUGUGUGUGUGUGUGUGUGUGCAGUGCACACACAGAGAUCAGAGGACAAUUUGCAAUUUGUGGGGUCAGUUCUUUCCUUCCUCACUAGUUAGGUCCUGGGGAUUGAAAUGUGGGUUUUGUUGUAAUCCCAGACCUCAAUGGUGGAAGAAAUACAUACAUACAUACAUACAUACAUACAUACAUACUACAUGCAUGUAUAUUUCAAGCUCGUCCUUAGUUACAUAUCAAGUUCAAGGCCAGCAUGGCCUUCAAGAACUCAGUCAUCAAAAACUAAGAGGCUUUAAUCUCAGCACUGGCAGAGGUAGGCAGGUUACUGUAGUUUGAGGCCAGCCUCAUCUAUAUAGCAAGCUCCAGGCCAGCACAGUGAGACCCUAUCUCAAAAAAACAAACAAAACAAAAAAAAAACCAAACAACAAAAUUGGAGCCAGCAAGGCAGCUCAGUGGGUAUGGACACCUAAUACUAAUUCUGAAGACCUGAGUGUGGUCCUAGAGCCCCAGAUGGUGGACGGAGAGCAUUGACUCCUGUGGUCUGUCUUCCCCUUGACUCCUGCCUCCAGAUACAAACCAGAUAAAACCCCAGAAGUGCCCAGUAAACACCAGUAGGAAGGCCAGUGUUGGGGGCUUACUACACAGUGGGUAAGACAUGAUCCUGCCAGUGUGUACGGGGUUUGGUUAGGGAGAAAGGGGCAGAGGAGGAAGCCGGCAGAAGACAGGAAGCUGUCUUCAGGGGAGCCCUCGCCCGGCCUACAGCGACCCUGGCGCUUGUGUGAAUGGGGGCACAGCUCAGAAGUGGGGACCACCUUCUUGUCCCAGGCAGCUAAUAACCUAAGUCAUCACAUCACCAGCCUGUAGCCGGGGACCAAGGGAUUCACCCAGGGUUUCACCCAGCCGGGGCCGGUGAAAGACUCGAGCAUUUGGAAACGAGAAAAUAAGCUAAGGAAGACAGCUGAAAUAUCGCAAAUAUUUUCCUGGGUAACUGAAGUGGAGAGUCCCAAACUGUUUGAAACCCAGGACUUAGGUUUAUUUGAAGCAGAUCCUAUAGAGUGCACUGCGGUCUGUCAGCGGGACUCCUUUUUUGACGCGAUCCAACCUGGUCGCUGCAAUUCUGCGUUGACUUUCCUAGCCAAGCAGACGACCAUGUGUUCACUGUGCAUCCGCUCAGCCAGCUAUGGAACGAAGGACGAUGGUUCCUGCUUCUUGAUGUACUUUUCAGGGCUGGUUUCUGAUCCACUUUGGGGGAGAGGGAAACAAGAGUGGAGGUAAUUUCGGGGAACGCCCCAAAAUGCCACACAUGAACAUUUUACGACAAUUAAAAGACCAUCUCGGUAGAGACAGGUGGAUUUCUGAGUUCGAGGCCAGCCUGGUUUACAGAGUGAGUUCCAGGACAGCCAGGGCUACACAGAGAAACCCUGUCUCGAAAAAACCCAAAAAAACCAACAACAAAGACCAUCUCAGCCGGGGGUGGGGAUGGGGGGGUGCACGCCUUUAAUCCCAGCACUUGGGAGGCAGAGGCAGGUGGAUUUCUGAGUUCGAGGCCAGCCUGGUCUACAGAGUGAGUUCCAGGACAGCCAGGGCUUUACAGAGAAACCCUGUCUCGAAAAACAAACGAAGAAAAAGACCAUCUCAUCUUUUGUGGUGCUGGUUUCAAUGUAGAACAUGCGGUGCCAUGAGAAGACUCUCUUGGGACUGAAGAGAAGUACAAAACAAACAAACAAACAAACAAACAAGGAGAUGUAAACUUUCAGCAGAGGACAAGUGAGCAGAGGCGAUAAGGAAGUGGGGAAAGGCCAGAGCAAGAGAAACUUGAAAAGUCUUUCAAGGGAGCUCUCAGAGAGCCAGGAGAGAGGGUGCGGCCACCUUUGAAGGUGGUGCCAGAGAAUGCAUGUUUGUAUAACUCUUUACUGACCUUAAAGUGUGAUCACAUUAGGGAGUAUAUUCUACUCAGCAGAAAGAUUCUUUUCAUAUUUAUUUGAUGAUGGUUUCUUGGGGCUGGAGACUUUUGGCCUGAUUUUUCCUUCAGACCAGAAUCCAGCUCUAUCCUCUCUCUCCAUGAGACAACCUCGGCAGCACAGGCAAUGUGACUGCAACUGGGGAUGCCAUGAAUGUAUAAAUAAACAUUGAAUUCCUAAGACAACAACAACAACAACAAAAUCCAGGGCCUAGAGAAAUGGCUCAGCAGUUAAGAGCACUGGUCACUCUUCCAGAGGACUUGAGAUCAGUUCCCUACACCCACGUGGUGGCUCAAUCAUCUAUAACUCCAUUUUCUGGGUAUUCCAUGCCCUCUUCUGGUCUCAGCAGGAGUACACAUACAUAGCACACAGACAUAGAGG
rnacentral:lncRNA from 1 species